UGUCCCUGCACAGAAUUCAUGAGUAGGAAGAGGUGCUAUAAGGUGACAGGAGAGCAUGACUCAGGAAUGAGACCAUUCUGAGCCUGAUGGCAAAUCUCCCUGACAGUAAUUUUGGCUCCUGCUCCCCUAGUCAAGCCUCCAGCUCUUCCUGAGGCUCGGCUGGAAGAGUGCCUGGCCAAGCCACAUUGCCGCCCAGCACCAAGAGCUGCUGGGAGCACCAUGGUGGAGGGAGGACUGGGGCCAGCACACCGACUGGACCCCGACCCUUCACAGGCUGCCUCCUCCAUGCCUGGCAUUGCCAGCCCUCCAAGACUGCAGCCUCACACUGCCCUGACCGCAGUACCGGGCACCCUCACCUCCCUCCUGGUGCCAGCCUUGAUUGGCCCUUUUCUGGACCUGUGACCUGGCUCUGAGCUUCCCCACAUGAUGAGAGAACAGCUUGGCCCAUUGCUUCACUAAAGGGACACUGAAGGCACCUAUGAGCGACUUGUCUAUUGGUCUUACUAUUGAUCUCCAUGCAGCACCUACGACUUCUGGCCACCUACGCAGACCAGGGCACUUGUUCUCAUCGCACUGCAGGGCACUUGCCUCCCCCAUCACCCGCCUGGGAUGCUUCCCGCAGCCACAGCCUGGAGCUGCUCUUAGGAAGCAAUGGUAUUUACACCUCUGUGGGUCUUCAGUCCUGAACUCCGUCUGCAUGCUGAGCGUGUCUCGUCUCCCCCUCCAAAACAGCAUCAAGCAGGAGUGCAGUCUGAGACAGAGGCGAAUGUAUGUCGACUGUAGCACAGACAGGACUGAUGAGAGGCCUGGAGCUGGAAGUGAGACCUGAGAUGGGUGCACAGAGCCUUCUGGGAGCAAGGAAGGAUGGAACUCUAAAUGAAGUUUUUUAUGUCAACCUUGGUGGUUUUUUUUUUUUUAAUCUUUUGAAGAAAAACAAUUGCCAAUUUCUGUGCUGGAUCAGGCACUGUUCUAAGCACGUAUUCCUGUGUGGAAUCCUCAGAAACACCUGUGGUGUAGCAAGUGCUAUUAUCAUCCUCAUUUUAUAGGUCAGCAUUGUGAAGCACAGAGAGGUUAAGUGAUUCAUCCAGGGUCACACAGCUAGCAAAUGGCAGAGCCAAGAUGCAAACCCCAAAUAUCCCUGUUUUCUUAUUCUUCUCCUUAUAUUCUGACCCCAGAUCCUGGUCCCCAAGGUGAAAUCUUUAUUUAUCUUAUAAUUUGUUUAUUUAUUUUUAUUUAUUUUUCUAAUAUUUUAAUUAAACCCCCACCCUUUUAUUUGGUUUUUUGAGACAGAGUCCAGACUUUCCUUGAAUUCUCUGUGUAAACCAGCUUGGGCUCCAACACGUGGCAAUCCUCCUGCCUCAGCCUCCGAAAUGCUGGGAAUACAGGUAUAUGUCACCACGGUCAAGAGAAGCUGUCCUGGUCUGUGAGUUCCCUUCAUUCCAGCAUAAGUACACACACACACACACACACACACACACACACACACACACACUGACCGUCCAGACAGGAGGAGGUUGUGAUCUAUGUCACUCCUGGCAGUGCCACCUGUUGUAAUACUUAGGGCUCAAUCCAGCCCUUUUUAUGCUUAUUUAUUUUUAUUUUUAGUUUGUUUUUAUAUUUUUAGUACUACAGAUUGAAACCACGGCCUCACACUGAGCUACACGCCCAGCCCUUUUAUUAUUUUUUUCUUUCCUUGUAUUACUCUUUCUUCACUUACUCACCGACGCCCGGCUCCACGAGGGCUGAGGUCUCAGCACGCACCACUGUGUCUGGGAGGAGGUGCCCCUUUCUGAUGACAGCUUGGGCUCCAGGGCCAGGCUAGGAGGUCUUGGCUUUCCUUGUGGGCUCAGAGGGGCUUGGAGGCCCCGCAGCCUGUGACACUGUGAGACAGUUAGGUAGAGGACAGGGGACCUCAGCUCUGCAUACCCUCAGAUACCCCUGCCUGCGGGUGAGAGGCGGACCCCGUGGCCUGUGUCUUCUGUGUCUCCUGUGUCUCCUGUGUCUGGGGAUAUCAGCCCCGGGAUACGGGUCUUCCCUGCCACGUGCCACACAAUGGGUCCCCAGGGAGGCGAUGCCCAGGGAUGCUUGAAGGCAGAGGGGGAUGAAUGAAAGCUGACACUUCCCCACCCCUGACAGGCAGCCAUGGUCCUCCUCCGGCUCCUCAGCAUCUGAGGACAGGCCUGGUAAUUAAUGUGCCAGGGGCUGCAUUGACAAAGCAGAAAAGCAGGCUCAGGGCAGGGAGUGAGUGAGUCAGGCAGGAGCGGGGGAGAGAGCCGGCAGGGGUGCGACUGUCCGUGGGCCAGGCGGGGUGGGCUGGGACUGCGCACGGCGGAGGCUCAGAACAGUCUGCAUCAGAGGCGCCGCACGUGAGCGAGCGAGCACGCGACGGUGUCCGCGAGGACGCGCGUGUGGCCCAGGGGACGAGCGUGUGAGUGACGGCUAGGAAGGGGGCUGCAGCGAGGGGCCAAGGGGCACCGGUCUCUCUCUUUUGUCCCCACCUCAGCCACGAGGGCUUCCUUGUGUGGAGUGAGGGCCGCGCUGGAGCGGUGAGAUUUCAUUACCUUUCCCUUUGUGUGAUAUUUUCGUGUUAGAAAUGUAAGACUGGAGCUAUAAAUAAUCCAGUCACAGCUGCGGCGUCCUGGAGAUGGAUGUGCACGCUGAUGCCAGCGCUCACUCAGGCAGGGUGGGGUGGGGGAGCUUUGUUCUGCAAAGCCCAGAUGAAAGCUGCCUCCCCCAGGGUGGACUCCAGCCCCAGCUGCCCAACCAGGUCUCCCUCCUGACCCCGGCACCCAGGCACCCAGGGGGAGCUCAGUGAUACCCAGACCCCACCCCACCUGUCUUGGGCAACCUGAGCCGUGCAGUGGGGCAGGUGGGGUCUGUGUAGGGGAGUCCAGGGCAGAAGAAGUGGGGUGGGCAGAAGGUGUCUUAGUUGAGGGCCAGGCCCAGCUGUGCCUGGUGACGCCACAGAUGGCCCAGAGAGAGGCAGACUCAGGCUGAUGAGGUUCCUGGAGCACAAGACAAUGACAGCCCUAUUGCUGUUCUUCCUAUGGCCUGAGACAUUGGCCUGUGCCUCCCUAGCAAAGACCGUCAUGUUCACCUCCAUGCAAAACUAUGUCUGCCGGAAGUGGCAGUGCACACCUGUGAUCUCAGCCCUAUGGGAGGCUGAGGUGGGAACAUCAUGAGCUGGAGCCCACUCUGGGUAGUUUACAUAACAAAGGCUGAGCCAGACAGCUCACUAAAAGCUCAACACCAGCCUGGGCUACAUAGUGAGUUCACAGGAAGUCUGAACUACAUAUGGAGACCCUGUUUCAUAAAAACAAAAUAAAUGGGUUGUGGUGGCACAUACCUGUAAUCUCAGUACUUGGGAGGCUGAGGCAAGAGGAUUGCUGUGAGUUUAGGGCCAGCCUGGGUUACAUAGUGGGUUCAAGGCCAUCAUCCUGACUACAUAGCAAGCCCUUGUUUAAAAAAAAAGGGUGGGGGGUGCUGCAGGACAUAGCUCAGUGUAAAGACCCUGAGUUCAAUCCCCAGGACCAGCAAAGCAGCGCAACACUAGACUAUGGGAUCAGGGCAUCCUGCACCCCAGGAAAGUGCAUGUGUCUUUCUCCUGGGAUGGGGAGUGGAAUCAGGGUCUCCCCAGGUCACCUCCCAGGAGCUGUCCUCAGGUCUGUGAGGACAGAAGGGGGGCUGAAGGGGAGGAGUAACAUUUGGGAGCUCAGACCUGGGUUUCUCCUUGGAAUCUGUGGGUGCUGUGAGGCGUCUCUGAGAGUUGCCCAGUGUCUGCAGCCGGUGGUGCACCUGUGACUCCCACAUUUCCCUGCCUAGGCACUUUCCACCUCCGUCCCUCAGAGCCCUGGGCUCCUGAGGGCAGGGCACACACAGGCUUUGCAUUCAUUGCAACCCAGGUGACUGUCACCCUCUGCCAGAGUCAGUCACCCUGCGCUCAUUUCAGCAGAGCCCAUGCCCUCUGUGCUGUGUGUGGAGGGAGGGCAGGGCUGCCUGGGUCCUGCCAGUCCCCAGCCUGCCCACCGGGGCUGUAGAUCUCUGGGACCCUGCCUGCUGCUUCCCUGCCAGGGAGCCACUCACCACCACGUGCUUCCUCUCUUGCUCCUGGGUGGUUACACCAGCCAGGGUUCCUACUGGAAUCAGGAGAAAUGCAACCUGAUGCUCCAGAAGAUACCCUGGAAGACUUGAGGGUGCUCAGGGUGUUGACAGGGCAGCUGGAGACCCGGCUUGGAAAACAGUGGGCAGCACUGCCAGGGCAGUCAGAUUAAGACAGCUCUGCUGGCCCCACUGCUGCCACCCAUGGGUCCCCCCAACAAGAGUCUCUGCCACAACCCAGAUCUCUGCCAGGAGUAAUUCCCAAACUGACCCUGAGUGUCACUCCCUACCACUCUGAGGCCCAGUGGGAAUUUCUGUCUGGCUGGAUUGAGGAGCCAUCUUGGUGGCCAGCAGGUAGGAGGAGGUGGAUUUCCCAGCCCUUCUUAUUUUUGUUGUUUCUUUCUCGCCCUCUCUUCUCUCACUCCUUUUUCUCUCUUUUCUUUUCUUUCUUUCUUGUCAUUAAGAUGCCAAGGCUGAGCUACAGCUGGUGACCCUCCUGGCAUAGCCUCCCAGAGCACACCACCAUGCCCUGCUGUACUUUCUCAUUUUGAGACAGUCUUCCUAAAUUUCCCAGGCUGGUCUUGAACUUGGGAUCCUCUACAUCACCCUCCUGAGUAGCUGGGAUUAUAGACGUGCACCACAACCACCACACCAGGUGCUCAGCUUUGAUUGAUUUCUGUAAUGAAAAGCAGGAUUAAUUUCCAUAAACACCUCCCAGGACAGGGAGCCCCCACACUCCCUGCACAACAGCAGUAGAGCAUUCUGGAUGGUCUUCAUCAGUUCCUCAGCCUCCCAGCCUUCUAUCCUGUCCCUUCUCUGAGGUCCACUACGUAAACUUAGUGCCUUCUGGCUGCUGGUUUAUUUACCAUUUACCGGAGGAGAAUGGAAACUUUUCCCCUUGCUGUGGCUCUCUAGCUUCCUGUCACCUCCUCCCUGUCCCAUCAAGCUUCUACCACCCUUUGCAGACUCUCUUCUAGUGCCUUCCUAAAAAAAAAAUUUUUUUUUUUGUCUUUUUCGUUUUUAUUGGUACCGGGGAUCAAACUCACAACUGCCUGCUUGCAAGGCAGGCGCUUAUGCCGCUGAGCUAAAUCCCCAGCCUCUAGUGCCUUCUUAAAGGCUCCUCCAUUGUGCCCGUAGUAGGGAUACCCACUUUCUGCUGGAACCCAGAUGAUAGAGGAGGAUUGAAAAUUGGGAGGCAAUAGAUCCCCAGGAAAUGCCACAGCAUGGCAGGACAGGUGCCCAUCGGGAGCAGGCAGCAGGGGAAAAUAGCAAGAGAAAGACUUGGAGCCAAGCUUUCACGGGUCUCACGUUCAGCUGUGGGAAUCUGGUCAGGUUCCUUAGCCAAAGCUUAACGCUGAGAAAUAAAGAUGAAUAGUUAUCUCCCAGAUCUGGUGUGAGGGGAGAUCGAUCUAUUAAUUAAGCACUUGGCACAUGAAGACCAGUGACAGCCUGGGCCAUUUGUCAGGAGCAGCUCUUGGAGCACGGUUUAGAGCACAAUUCUGACACCUCUCCUGGUCUGGAGGAGGAGGGUGCACUUCUGACAUGGUGGUGACACCUGUCCUGAUGUGGCCUAGGAAACCAUAGCCAUCGGUUUGCAUAUUCUUUGCCUCAGGAGAAGGGAAGUCAGAUUCUGCAGGAGUCACAAGGGCCAGGCUUCUGUUUAUCUAGCAUCCAUUGCCACCAGCACUGUCUGGGUCCUGAGUCAUUGGGUCAACCCAGUCCUCUCAGCAAUGCAAAUGUCCGGCCAGCCCUUGCCUUUAAUCUGCAAGCUACUGCAGCCCUGGCAAGGAUAUUUAAGGUCUCCUUGCUCUUCCAGGGCUUUCUCUGGCUCUUUCAACCCCUAAAAAGCCAGCCUCAUGCUUCCCACAUGCAACAUGGACACAUGCAACACAUGUACAACACACACACACACACACACACACACACACACACACUCACACUCUGCUUCAUUGCCCUCUCACCAGAGUCAGUGCUAGGGAAGUAUACACACUAACCUGAACUUCUCCAUUCCACGUUACCCCAACCUCCAUCUCCACCAUUCCUACCAUCCCGGCUAGGGGUUCUGACAUUCUUCAGCUGGUUGAAGUACAAGAGGUAGAAAAAAAAAUCAUGUCACAGGCAUACUGUGAAGGGUGAUGCAAGCUUGGUGAUCUCCAGCUGGUUCCUGGGAUGACAACGAAAAUGAGAGAGAACAAGGGAUCCUGCCCGAAAGUUAUCUUUCUAUAUUCACUUGCCCAGAACAGCAGCAUUCACUUCUAUUGAGCAUUUGCUAUGUGCCCAGCUGCAGGGUGUGCCCUGCCUGCUGCACCAAAGGGUGGCAGACACACAGAGCCCAGCGAGCCUGAGCAGUGCAAUGAAGUGACUACAGGGGAGCCUUUGCAUUAGGGUGGCACAGUGGGACCAUCUUGGAAGACUUCCUCAAGUAGGUGGCGAGAUUGGCAUAUGCACAGAUCUGAAGCAAUGUUUAGAUAGCUGCUAGUGCCCUGCGGGUCACUGUGAUUAGAGCUCAGAGCUGGAGGGUGGGGUCACAAGGGGAGCUGAUUGGGGCAGAGCAGUUGAGAUCCUACAGGGCCUUGCAAAGGCCUUUUUGAGGGCUUGAAGUUUUUUGAGCCUAUUCCCAGCCCAUUCUCUGCCUGCUGCAGCAAGUGAGGUCCUGAAGGAACCUUUCCCAUGGGGCCCUCCUUGAGCUGCGUGGGCUCCAGGCAGUUGCCCUACACCCUCUGCACCCCACCCCCUGGCCUGGCGUCCUAGGAGGACUGAGUUGCAGGUGCUAGUGGUAGGUAGGCAGCAGAGGCUGAAGGAGGAAGACUGCAGAGCCCCAGCCCUAACCAACCAGCCGAAUGAAGGCUUCAGUGCAGCCUCCCUGGGAGCGGGCUGUCCAAGCUUCAGGUGCAAUUGAUGGUAAAACAGACUUUGUGGAAUUUUCUUUCUCCCGUGACUAAGUAGGCUUGCAACUACCUCCUGCCCUAUUUGUCCCAGCUGAUCUCUUGCUCAGAUCUGCUUGGGAACAGGCAAAUAAUGUCUCUGGAGAAGCAUGGCUCUGUGUGUUUGUGUGUAGCUCUGUGUGCGUGCAUGAAAUCAUCUCACGUGCAUGUGAGGAGUCUGUGAAAGGGAGUGUGGGUCCUUACGUGUGCAUGGAAACAGCUCCGCUGUGCAGUGUGCAGGAGCAAAUGUGCUUGAGACCUUUGUGGCUGCCUGAGGAUCACAGAUGUGCAGGAAGGUGUGGAGGUGUUUAAGUGUGCAGAGGGUAUGAGAAGCACGGGUGUGAGUGUGAGUGUGUGUGUAAUGUGUAAUGCCGAUGUGCAUCCAACUCUGCAGCUCCAGCUUUGUGAAUAUUUAUAUGCAUUAGGCUGGGGAUAUAGCUCAGUGGCACAGUGCCUGCCUGGCAAAUGUGAGGUCCGGAGUUCAAUUCCCAAUGCCAAAAAAAACUUUUAUAGUCAUUGAAGCAGUAAAGCAUUGAAUAGGUCCUAGUGCCUCUCCUCUUGCUUCUUUUUAAUCCAUUCUCCCUCCAGUAACCAAUGUGAGCUUUUAGAAAUGCAAAUCACAUCAUGUCACUCCUAGGCUAGAAAUCCUCUGUAGCUUCCCAUUGCAUUCAGAGUAAUAGCUUGUGACUAUGACCUACAGCAUGUGGCCCCACUCCAAUCUUUCAGACUUUGUGGCCUCACUGUCUCCCUUCUUGGACACACCCUGUCUCAGCCAGAUAGCCAACAGCCUUCAAGCCACAUCCUUUCUCUUGAUCCUCUUUGCUGCCAUGUGUUGUUUUGACUCCAAGUGUGAUGACUUUCUCAGUGGGGUCUCCUCAGCCCAACUCCAAGCCGUUCCUGCAACCCGGCUCCCCAAGCGCUGGAUCAGCUGGUCAGAAGCAGAUGCCAAACAGUUAGGUUUGAAUGGGGUUUGGCAGGGAAAAGAAUAUCAAGGAGUCCUGGUUGAGUGGGUGAACCAGUAGACCAUGGUAAACAUCACACAAGGUCUUUGCCAGUCUGUAGGGUAUCACAAGUAAAGACUGACCAUGAAAAAAAGUCCUGAAAAAACAUACUAAAGUCUUGAGUCAAAUGGAAGUGGCUGGACUCUGCCACAUCCUGGCUUGGUUAAAGAUUACAAUUAUCAUCUCAAAGGCUGAGUUCAAGAGACUGAACAGACAAGCCACACACUGAGCGAAAAGAUUUGUAAAAAGACACAUCUGAUUAAAACAAAAAACAAAUCAUUAUUCCAAAUAUGCAAAGAACUCUUAAAAUUCAGCAAGAAAAUGAAAGCUGGGCAUAGUGGCAUACCCCUGUAAUCUCAGCACUCAGGCAGCUUAGGCAGGAGGAUCACUGCAAGUUCGAGGCCAGCGUGGGCCACAGAGUGAGUUCAAGGCCAGCCUGAACUAUAUAGUGAGACCAUGUCUCAAACAAGCAAGCAAACAAACAACAACAACAAUAAAACAAAAAAGGAAAAAAAAUGACCAACCAGAUUAAAUAAUGAGCAAAAGACCCAAACAGACAAACCACCAAAGGAGAUAUAUUCUUGUAGAUAGCAAGUAUCUGAAAAGAUGUUCAACAUCAUGUCACCAUGGGAUUGCAAAUUAAACAGCACUGAGCACAGCACCUGUUUGGCAAGCACACCUGUUUGGCAUUCUGGGUUUGAUUCUUGAUACCAACAACAACAACAAAAACAAAAUAUCAUUGAAGGACUGGGAAGUCCUAGGUCAGUGCUAGGGAAUUUGCCUACUACGAGCAAAGUUCUGGAUCCUGUUCUCAAUGCCAUAAAAUAGUAACAAUGGCAAUGGAAGCUGGAGCACUUGUUCGGCCUGUGUGAGACCCUAACACUAAACAAUUAAACCCAAUCCUGCCAAACAACAACAGUAUUGAAAUCCAACCACACAUCUAUGAGAAUGGCUGAGAGCAGAGCCCUGACAACACCAAAUGUUGAUGAGGAUGUGGAGCAACAGAAAUGCUCAUUCAUUGCUGGUGGGAAUGCAGAUGGUACAGCCUCUCUCAGAGACAGUUUGGUGGUCUUCCACAACUAAAAUGCUCUCCUUAGUAUUUGCCCAAACUGAAAACUUAAGUCCCUGCAAAAACUUGUACAUAGAUGUUUAUAGCAGCUUUAUUCAUAAUUGACAUAACUGGGGAGCAAUCAAAACGUUCUCAGUAAGUGAAUGGACAAAUAAGCUGUGCUAUAUACAGCAGCAAUGGAAUAUUACCCAGUGCCAAAAAGAAAUGAGCUAUCAAGUUAUGGAAAGACAUGCAGGAAACUUAAAUGCAUAGUAGGAAGUGGAAGAAGUCAAAUGAAAAGGUUCCAUAUGUAUAAUUUCGACUAUAUAAUAUUCUGAAAAAGGUAAAACUAUGAAAACCAUAACAUAAUCCCUGGUUGCUGGACACACCGAGGAUUUUUAGGGAAAUGAAACAAUUCUGAGGAUACUAUAGUGGUGGAUAUUUGUCAUUAUGCAUUUGUCCAAAUGCAGAACAGACAAUACUAAGAGCUAAUCCUCAAUCCUCACUUACACUGUGAACUUUGAGUGCUUACAAUGUAUCCGUGUAAGUCUACUGAUUGUAGUACAGGUGCCACUUUGGGAUGGGAGGUUGUGUGGGGAUGGAGGUGUGGUGUGGUGUGGGAAAUCUCUGUACCUUCUGUGCCAUUUUGCUGUGAACCUAAACUGCUUGAAAUUCACUUAGAAAAAAAGUAAAAAGGAGAAGGGAA